GUCUGUGACCCAUAAGACCUAGAGGAACAUGGGUCAAUUCAAAGAUGGGAAAGGGAAGACUUCCUUUCAUUGUGGUGCCUAUGCCUUUAAACAGGCCCUAUUGCUGGGCAAGGCUAGAUCCAGCUGAGCUGGAUUGGGGAAGACCAUCAGUGAGCCAGCUGGGGCCGGACCAGUGGUAUUUAAAUGGGAGAGGAGGGCCAGGAAGUCCUUCCUGGUGUGGGUUUAACAACCUAAAGCUCCCAGCUACAGUGGAUCGAGUGCUGCCGGGGAGUGACCGCUACAGAGGACUGACCGCUGUCUGGAAGUGACGGCUCUGCAUCCAGAGGGAGACGUGAGCCAGAGCUUUUUCUUUAAGGUCUCCCUUCAAGUAUCCAGUAGCCCACUCCCGUCCAGGCUCAAAACUUCCCAUCUGCAGCUGAAGCAGGCUCUCCAGUUCUUCUUCCCAGACAGAUCCAUGGAGGCCUACCCACAAGAUCCAGAUUCCCAGGGGGAUGGGAUCCGGGGGGAUCUGGAGGGGCCCCCCAUAUCUCGAGCUGGAGGGGACUGCCUUCUCUCACCUGUCCUUUUCAGUCGGCCCCCCUCCCUGUCACUGGGGGUGGAGGAGAGGGGCACUGGACAAAAUGUUCUGUUCCAGAUCGGAGUCGGAGAUCUGGACUGGGGGCAAAGAUGGGAAAAUCCAUGACAACCCUGGGAGCCACGCCAUGCGUGAGUACGUCACUCAGUCGUAUUUAUUGAGCGUUCUGUGCGCAGAGCACUAUACUAAACGCUUGUGAGAGUACAGUGGGACAAUAUAACAGACGCAUUCCCUGCCCACAACAAGCUUACGGUCUAGAGGGCAUGGGCAAGCAUGUGUACAUGUGUACGUGCGGGUGCGUAUCCCUGGGUAGUGGGGUGGGGCGGGGCAAGCUGCCAGGCCCGCAAUACGGUGUGGGCAAGUUGCAUGCCAGCAGGCAUCUCGUCACCCCCUGCUGACACCAGCAGCCCCGGGCCACGUCUGAGCAGGAAGCCAAGAUUCUGGGCGGGAAUCUCCCUCUGGUCAGCGGCUGCCUGGCUCACUUCCAGGAAAUCUUCUGGGCCAGUGGGAGGGGUCAGGAUGCCCUCUUUGCCACGGAACUGCUCGGUAACCCCGGCAAGCCGCUUUAUCCUGCUGGGCCUCGCUGGCUUCAGCUGCCAAAUGGGGAGAAUAAUCAAUCAAUCAACCAAUCGCAUUUAUCGAGCGCAGCAAUCGAUUGUAUUUAUU